UACAGAGGUCUCAAGCGUUGUUCGGAUUCAUUGGGCGUAAAGGGUGCGUAGGCGGCGCGGUAAGUCGGGUGUGAAAUCUUGGAGCUUAACUCCGAAACUGCAUUCGAUACUGCCGUGCUUGAGGACUGGAGAGGAGAGUGGAAUUCCUGGUGUAGCGGUGAAAUGCGCAGAUAUCAGGAAGAACACCCGUGGCGAAGGCGGCUCUCUGGGACGGUACUGACGCUGAGACGCGAAAGCGUGGGGAGCAAACAGG
rnacentral:rRNA from 1 species